CCAGCCCCGCAGCGCAGGCCGCACCGCAGCUGCGCGCUGCCUCCCCCGGCCGCAAGUGUCCGUGUCCCCUUCGCCGGGCCGGGAGCGGGUGCCAGCUCAGCCGGGGCCGCGGGGAGCUGGGGCGCCUGGCCGGGGGGCAGGGUCAUCGCCCUACAGCGCGCUGCCACGCGGAUCCACACAGGGGGCUGCUAACAGGGAGUUUCGCAAGGGAGUUCUCCAGGUGAAGGAGGAGCUAAUACAGCAUCUGUGGGAUUAUGAACAAACAGGAAAAUGAAGGUGAAGAUGACUGAGUUAGCUGCAGAAGACCAAGGCCAUCAAGAUAUUCAGCCAGAUGGAUGAGGUGGAAGCAGGGGACUGUGAACAGUUCAAACAGUUCCUGCUGCGCAAGUUUGAGCUGACCCCCAAGGCAUACAGGAAAAGGUUCUGGGGUGUGCAGAAGAACCAGGGGAUCACCUAUCUGGAACUGGUCACGCUGAUGGGGGAAUACACCCACAAGUGGGUGAACGGGGCCAGGGCCCAGACAAAGGAGGAUGUGAUUGAACUGAUGGGGCUGGAGCGACUACAUGAACUCUGUUCCCCUGACCUGAGGAUGUGGCUGGUGGACAAGAGGCCGAAGGACCUGUGUUGCACGGGACUGCUGGCUGACGAGUUUGUAGACAGCAGGUCGGGAUAUGGAAUGGAAUGCCAGGGGGACAGGCCCACAUCAGUGCAGAAGGGGUGUGUGGCGGGCCUGGCACCUCACCGCCCCUUUGUGGCAGGGGUGGGAUGGGGUAUCGGAACCUCGCCACUCCCAAGUUCACAUGCUUGCCUCUCUGUGGGUGGCCAGAUGCGGCCUAAUGGCCUGUCUCCAUGCAAUCACCCCUUGGUCAGGGUAGUGGGCCCUAAUGGCUAGAGUACAUGUAAAUCGCUCCCAGCAUUGGAGCAAUACGGCCCAAUGGCCAGAGUCCAUAUAACCCCCGCCAUUGCAGGCGAGGCAGUGUGGCCUAGCAGCCAGAGUCCAUGUAGCUCACCCCAAGAGUCAGGGCUGUGUGGCCUGACAGCCAGAGUCCAUAUAACUUCCCCCUCGCAGGCAGGAUAGUACGGCCUAGUGGCCUGAGUCCAUGUAAAUUGCCCCAAGUGUCAGGGCAGUAUGGCCUUAUGGCCAGAGUCCAGAUAACUCCCCCUUCAAAGGUGGGGUAGUAGAGGGUGGUAGGGGGACCUGGGCCUGCCCUCUCCACCGGGUCCCAACCCAGGGCCCUGUUAGUGGCAAGUUCCCCUUACCCCAAGCUCAGCAGGGAUCCGCCCGCAACACGCCAAGCAGCUGUGCGGCUCUAAUGCCGUUUGCCUGUAAAGUUCCCCAUGGUCACUCCCUACCAUAAAUGUUGGGUUCUCCGCU